rnacentral:lncRNA from 1 species
AAUAUCUAACCAAUCUUUAGCACCAUUUUAGAUUUACUGAUUGCAGAUAGCACUAAAGAUGCUAAAGCAGAUCAACCUAUCAACUACACACUUGCCUUGAACCGUAUGAAGUAACCAAAGCUGAUUUCCAACACUAAACCUGACAUAACCGCUUGUCUUGGGGAUUGGUAUACAUGGGAUCGGAUUCUUCAGACAGGUCUGGAAGGUAACGCCUGGUGUAGAUUAUUUAUCACAUUUUCUCUCUCUAAAUUUCAACCCUAGAUUAGUUAGUGAGUAUUAUUAAAAAAAAAAUAAUAAUAAUAAUAAAAAAUAAAUAAAAUCUAUUGUUUAAUUAGGAUGAGUCUGAACAGGACUUGGUGGCUAAAACCAUUAAGGCUUGAUUCAUAAAGACUCCAUUAAAAGAGUUCGAAACGGGACUUCGAGGCGGCAAACUUCAAGGCUCGCUUUCGCAAAGAACUCUUGGAUAUAGGUUAACAAGAAGUGAACAGAACUUGGUGGCAACCACCAUUAAGUUUUGAUUAAUGGAAGUCUGUCCAAUCUAGGUCACUGAUCCUGCAAUGGAAGCAGACUUUGAGUCAAGAGAGAAAAUUAGAGAGAGAGAAAAUAGGAACUAACUUUUACAUGCAGCUCCAGAUACAUGUCUG